rnacentral:rRNA from 1 species
UGCCAGCAGCCGCGGUAAUACUGAAGGUGCAAGCGUUAAUCGGAAUCACCGGGCGUAAAGCGCUCGUAGGCGGCUUUGUAAGUCAGAUGUGAAAGCCCGGGGCUCAACCCCGGAAGUGCAUUUGAAACCGCAAGACUUGAGUAUGGGAGAGGGUGGUGGAAUUCCUGGUGUAGGAGUAAAAUCCGUAGAGAUCAGAAGGAACACCGGUGGCGAAGGCGACUUCCUGGACUAUUACUGACACUGAGGAGCGAAAGCGUGGGGAGCAAACAGGAUUAGAUA